UUCAAAUGCUUUUUUUUUUCAAACAUAGACUAUAUUUUCCUGAUGGAAAUACAUUAUAAGGGACAUUGCCAGCACCUGCACCUCUACAGGCCUGUGUCCCUUUUAGGGCCAUCUUCAGGACAGAAUCUAUUAGGAAAUCUAGAGGCUUCCAGGACCUGGCUGGGCUUCAGCUCUGUGGCUGAAUUUGAGCUGAGUAAAUAAGACUGAAGGACCUUGGCAUGCUUCAGCUGCCAACAACCCACACUUGCCAAGAGAGGGGACGGCGCCUUGAUCAUUUUCGUGGAGCGCCUCUGCUGUCAGAAAGCCACCCUGAUCCCUGGCACAGCAGAGCUAGCGGGGCUGCAGUGUGGCUACUGUGUGUAGCUUGCUUUCUUCACAAGAUGUUUGGAUCUCAUCGUGCUUGUUUGUAGAGGAAGAACGCUGGGAUAAUACUUCCGAGGUAGCUGAGGAACUCCCUGUGCUGGAACAACACUGCUGAGACUCUGGAACCCCGGGCUCUGUACAUGGCAAAUAUGGACUCCCAGGGUGUGAGUGCAGCCCCUGUAAACGGCUGCCUUUUCCCUCCCACCCUCAGAUUUACAAAGCUGCUCUAGGAAGAUUUCAUGGUCACCCAGCUUCAGUGGAUGCUCCUAAGAUCUUGGACAUACUGGGCUGUCUGGAUGAUUGGCACCUGGACCGGGGGAGCCUGAAGGCAUUUAAACCAUCUUUGAACAGCUUCAGAAGAUCUAUCAUCCACAGAUAUGUUCUUGUAGCAAUCAUUUGGAGCAUCUCAGAAGAGCUUUUGAGUAAACGAGGUUGCCCUGAAUGGCCCUGGAGUUGAAAUGGCUACACUUGUCAAGAAAAACAAAACAAAACAAUAACAACGACAAAAAUUCGGCUAUGUCAGAGGGCUGGGCUGAAGGACAAGUGUCUGAAAAAACACCUGCAGUAUUAGGAAUUUACUGCUGCUUGCCCAGCCUCAGAACCAUAUGACUUUGGACAUGGUGGCUUUCCUCUACAAUGUCUGCACUCUUAUGGUGUGAUGGGAGAAGAGACAUGGGAAUAGAUGAAGGCCAUCUCGCCUGGAGUACUCAGAGCAGUAGAGACAAGAGAGACCCUGCCUCAACAAGGUGGAAGGAAAGAACCAGUUCCUGAAAGUUGUCCUUUGACUUUCACACAUAUGUUGUGACACCCCUCUCCAUUGCUGUUACCACUACCACCAUCACCACCACCACCAUCACCGCUGCCACCAUCAUCAUCACCACCAUCAUCACCACCACCACCAUCACCGCUGCCACCAUCAUCACCACCAUCAUCAUCACCACCACCAUCACCAUCACCACCAUCACCACCACCACCAUCACCACCACCACCAUUAUCAACACCACCCUCAAGUAAAAUUGAACUGUUAGGCAGUGAGACCUGGACAUACAUGGACAGAUGGCUACCCAGCAAUAUGGCUGAGAUUUGUGAUCAUAAAUUGAAAUUGAAGCCAGAUCUGUGUGAUUGCAGAUCUCUACUGUAAUACGAGGUGCCAGUUGGAAGAGAGAGAUUUAGGGCUCUGCCAAGUAACAACAGAGGAUUAACUCGCUGUUGGACCAUUUGGCCCAGGCCUUCCAGAAGAGCCAGGGUAUGAGGGGCGUAGGAAUGCCACAGAGCUCAUGGGAAGUACAGGCGCCACAUCCUUUCACAUCCUUUCAUCUGGGCCUCCAUGGAGAACUUUUCUCUCUGCUGCUCUGGCCUGUAAGCUAACAGCUGGGGAAGGACAAUACCUGAGAUGCAGUGGUGACACCCAGUGACGGCUCCUCGAAGUGCACCUUGUUGGGUGUGGGCUGGGAGCCUCUCCAGGAGGCUGUUCUCUUUCUGCUCUACUCAAAUGCUUUGCGCUCUCCCAGCUAUCUCUUGCAGGAUUCAGUGCCUGCACCCUAGCAUUCCCAAGGUGGUGAAGUGUUGUGUGGCGGGAUAGCUUAGAGGGGAGUGCAAAGACGCCCAAAGUAACCUGGGCUGUUAGCUCCAGAGCCCAGACAUCUUCUUCUCCGCUGGGUCCCUGCUGGCCAGGAACAGUCCUGAUUCCCGAAUACUGGGGCAUUCUAAAACCCUGUCCAGGUUCAAACAAAUGCCGGGCAGUGCAUAGACUCUUCUCUGUCACGGCAGUCCUGGGGUAUUUACCUCUUGGUUGAUGCAAGAGCUGAAUGAGGACUGCACCGUUCUCCAUCACUUCCAAAGAGUGUUCUUCCUUGGGCCUAAGACAUCAUACUGUCCCCGGCUCUGUUUGUCCCCCGCACCAAGAUCUGCUUUGUCUAGAGAUUCAUAGGCUUCCCUGCAAGUUUGUAUCUAUUUGAUAUCUGUCACAAGUCCUGGGUUGGACUUGCGGGCUAAGGAGCUGGAUAUCCCUUAAUUAGAGGCUAGUCUUUAGGAAAUAAGGAUAAAAAGAUUUGGGUCUGGAGAGAUGGCUUAGCAGUUAAGAGGACUUGCUGCUCUUGCAGAGGAUUCAGGUCCAGAUCCCAGCACAUACGUGGUGGCUUCACAACCAUCUGUGAUGACUCUAGUUCAGAAGGACCCAAUGCCCUCUUCUGACCUCUGUGGGCACCAGGCAGGAAUGUGGCACUCUUACAUAUAAGCAGGCAAACCACAUAGAAUAAAAUGCAUCUUUUA